rnacentral:tRNA from 1 species
GGAGGAGUGCAGGAGUGGUUGAACUGGCACGCCUGGAAAGUGUGUAUAGGUGAAAGCCUAUCAAGGGUUCGAAUCCCUUCUCCUCCGCUA